UCUGAAUCAGAAAAGAUAGACACCA
rnacentral:piRNA from 1 species